CCUACGGGUGGCUGCAGUGGGGAAUAUUGGACAAUGGGCGAAAGCCUGAUCCAGCCAUGCCGCGUGUGUGAAGAAGGCCUUCGGGUUGUAAAGCACUUUCAGUGGGGAAGAAAGCCUUGGGGCUAAUACCCUCGAGGAAGGACAUCACCCACAGAAGAAGCACCGGCUAACUCCGUGCCAGCAGCCGCGGUAAUACGGAGGGUGCGAGCGUUAAUCGGAAUUACUGGGCGUAAAGCGCGCGUAGGCGGUCUGAUAAGCCGGUUGUGAAAGCCCCGGGCUCAACCUGGGAACGGCAUCCGGAACUGUCAGGCUAGAGUGCAGGAGAGGAAGGUAGAAUUCCCGGUGUAGCGGUGAAAUGCGUAGAGAUCGGGAGGAAUACCAGUGGCGAAGGCGGCCUUCUGGACUGACACUGACGCUGAGGUGCGAAAGCGUGGGUAGCAAACAGGAUUAGAUACCCCAUAGU
rnacentral:rRNA from 1 species